GCCCACAAACGUCGUUGGCACAGUUAGGCAGCGCGUCAGUCUCAUAAUCUGAAGGUCGUGAGUUCGAGCCUCACACGGGGCA